rnacentral:misc_RNA from 1 species
CGAAAUCCGGUAGACGCUACGGACUUAAAUAAUUUGAGCUUUAGUAGAAAAACUUACUAAAUGUUAGCUUUCAAAUUCAGGGAAACUUAGGUUGAAAAAAGUAUAAGUGAUCCUGAGCCAAAUUUUAUUUUUAAAAUAAAAUAGGUGCAGAGACUCAAUGGAAGCUAUCCUAACGUAAAAAAUUUUAAGAUUUAUUUAGUUGCAUUUUAUAAAUUAAUAUAUAAAAACGUUUAACUAAAUCUUUUAUUUUAAUAACAAAAUAAGCGAGGAUAAAGAUAGAGUCCAAUUUUACAUGUUAAUUUUAACAACAAUUUAAAUUGUAGUAAAAAGAAAAUCCGUUGGCUUUAUUGACCGUGAGGGUUCAAGUCCCUCUACCCCCAAAACUAUACUUUUUUUUUUAUUGACAAAAGCUCUUAAUUUAUGUUAGGAUAACUCAAACAAAAGUAAAGCCGGAAUAGCUCAGUUGGUAGAGCAGAGGACUGAAAAUCCUCGGGUCAC